rnacentral:rRNA from 1 species
GGACUGAGACACGGCCCAGACUCCUACGGGAGGCAGCAGUGGGGAAUUUUGGACAAUGGGCGCAAGCCUGAUCCAGCCAUGCCGCGUGCGGGAAGAAGGCCUUCGGUGUAACCGCUUUUGUCAGGGAAGAAAGCUCGGGCUAUACUUGGAGUCAUGACGGUACUGAAGAUAGCACCGGCUAACUACGUGCCAGCAGCCGCGGUAAUACGUAGGGUGCAAGCGUUAAUCGGAAUUACUGGGCGUAAAGCGUGCGCAGGCGGCUUUGCAAGACAGAUGUGAAAUCCCCGGGCUUAACCUGGGAACUGCAUUUGUGACUGCAUGGCUAGAGUGCGGCAGAGGGGGAUGGAAUUCCGCGUGUAGCAGUGAAAUGCGUAGAUUGCGGAGGAACACCGAUGCGAAGGCAAUCCCCUGGGCCUGCACUGACGCUCAUGCACGAAAGCGUGGGAGCAAACAGGAUUAGAUACCCUGGUAGUCCA